UGUUAGGGGUCCCAUAACUACAAGAUACACA
rnacentral:piRNA from 1 species